rnacentral:rRNA from 1 species
GACGAACGCUGGCGGCGUGCUUAACACAUGCAAGUCGAACGGUGAAGCACCUUCCUUUUGGUGGGUGUGGCUGAGUGGCGAACGGGUGAGUAACACGUGAGUAACCUGCCCCCUUCUUCUGGAUAACCGCAUGAAAGUGUGGCUAAUACGGGAUAUUCUGGGUCUGUCGCAUGGCGGGCCUGGGAAAGAUAUUGUUUCGGUGGGGGAUGGGCUCGCGGUCUAUCAGCUUGUUGGUGGGGUGAUGGCCUACCAAGGCGGUGACGGGUAGCCGGCCUGAGAGGGUGGACGGUCACGCUGGGACUGAGACACGGACCAGACUCGUACGGGAGGCAGCAGUGGGGAAUAUUGCACAAUGGGCGGAAGGCUGAUGCAGCGACGCCGCGUGAGGGAUGGAGGCCUUCGGGUUGUAAACCUCUUUCGCCAGUGAAGCAGGACUGUCCCUUUUGUGGGUGGGUUGACGGUAGCUGGAUAAGAAGCGCCGGCUAACUACGUG